CCAGAAUGCAGUCUCAAGUGCUCCAAAAUGGAGUCCCUACUGUCAAGGUGCUACUUCACUCUGUCUUAUUUUCACGGCUGCACCAGGAAGGUUUAAACCUGUAAGCUUAAGCUUAACUUUUUAUACCCGCACAUAUACAAUUUUAACUCUUCAGUGUAGGAAGGAACUGGGCUUAUUGUUGAACACAUUAUUGUAAAGAGAAUAUUUCCAAGUCCAUGCUCAGAAAAUACCUGAAAUAGAUAGUAGGUUUUGGAAAAUAUGUUUUUAUGUAAUUUAAUUCAAUUUUUAGUCAGAGUAUUUUAUUUUUCAAAUAUGGAAUACAAUUUCUUUUAUUUCAAAUUACUUCUCUAGUAUUAAACUAAAUGGUUCAGCUUAAUCACAUAUAAAAAACUUUCCAGUACAUAGGCCUAGAUUCCAAAUCUUGCUACAAAUUAGUUUCUAGCCCAGGCAAUAAAUGGAUACCUGGAGGAAAUUCAAAAAGCAAAACCACUUUAAUUAGGUUUGAAAGUGUCUCCAAUCAGUUUCAGAAUAGCUGUCACUGGAUUUAUGAUGCACCUCCCAAACUGUAGCUUUUCAUAUCCAGCUAAAGUGAGAAGGCCCCAGAGAAACUGAGUAUGAUUUCUUGAGACCUAAAUAUUUAUCUCCUCUAAUAAAUGCUCCUAGAAAAUAUGGGCAAGAAGAUGGAAGGAUAACCGGGCUUAGCUUAAGCCAAGCCUGUCAGACUCUAUCUUUGUUUUCACUUAAAAGCAAGAGUUUUAGAAGGAUUAAUCCAAACAAACCUUCCCUCACUAAUCUUCCACACAUCAGUCACAUUCACUUCCACAUCUGUGCCCAAAUGACAGUAACUUGGGGCUUUACCAGAGUGGGAACCAGCCCUGAGACCCAGAGAAGUCAAGGGAACCAGGACUCUAACCCAUGUCAUCCCAACUCCAACUUGAAAGAAAAUGUUAGUAAUAAAAAAAAUUGUGAUCAGUCCUUUCAUACAUUACUUUUCUGCUGUUUUGAAAUUGACUCACCUGUUAAUUUCUGUUGGAUUCUUCUUUCCUUGUUUUCUAAGUCAUAACAAUGUGGUACAUGGCAAAAGCAAAACAAAACAAAACAAAAAAACAACCAAACACCUUCAUGCAGCAUGGUACCCUGGAGAUUGCAUGGAGAUUGGAGCUGGGAAAAUGGCUGUCGUCACUUCUUGGUGACUUGGCUUUGUGCUUGCCUGCUGUGACCCUCAGUCUCUUCUGAGUAGAGAGAAGGAACACUCAGGGUAGAAAGCUGUGGUGAAUAUGCUGGGGUAAAAUACCUGGUGGGAUCUAAAUUUCCAUCUCUGUUACUGAUGAUAUAAAAUUUAGAAAGGUACAGUUAGGUUUGGCAAGAGGCAUGUGCAAGGUCCCCUUGAGAGUUAAUGUGGGAUGCUGCAUCAGGUCAGUAAGUCUCAGUGGCACUUAUCCCUGAGCCUCCUCAAACAGCGCUUUUUAUUUUUGCAUGAGUGUGGUAGUAAUCACAAAGAAAGGGCAUUUGGGCUAAAAUUCUUAAUAUCUCCAUAAUGUGCUAGAUACUCCGCCAAGUGCUUUGUAGGUAUCAUCUCAUCUAGUCCCCACAGCAAAUCUAUGUGAUUGGUAAAAUUGUCAUGCGCAUUUCACAGAUGGAAGCCCAGUAUCGAUUGGUUCAGCUUGCUUAACUUGGCCCAGUGAAAUUAUUUCCUUCCGCUCUAACUUCUUUGCCUUCUGUUUCCUUGCUGUCAUUAAAGUGACUUUCCAAUGGCAAUCAUAAUGUGUUUCCCUGGAUGAGUGUCAUGAAAUUUGAUCUGCAAGAAGGCAGUAGGCAGAAUAGUGUCCCCUUGCCCUUCCCAAAGAUGUUCAUAUUCUAAUCCCAGAACCUCUGAAAAUAGUAGCUGAUGUGACAGUGAAAACCUUGAGUAUGGAGAAUUCUUUGGGUUGUGGGUGGGCCUAACGUAAUCUUUAGGAUUCUCUGAAAAAUCAGAGAAGGAGAAAUGGGGGCAAAGCUGCAGAGAUUGGUAUGAUAUGCUUUGAAGAUGGAGCAAGCGGCCAGUGCCAAGGAACAAGUUUGGCCUGCAGAAGCUGUAAAAGGCCAGGAGAUGGAUUCUCCCAUGGAGCCUGCAGAGGGCCUGAUUUGAGCUGAUGCUGCAGUUUUAUCCCCGUGAGAUUCAUUUUGAUUUCUGACUUCAGGAGCUCCAGGGUAUUGGGUUUUAAGCCAGUAAAGUUGUGUUGAUUUAAGCCACUACGCCAAAUGAUAGUUCAUGGCAAAGAAACCAGCCAACGCACUGUCAUAAGCAUUCAAACAAGCAUAACCCUGCUGUGGAAUAUAGAGAAACAUGCAGAGAUGCAGUGGAUUGGGAAGCCCGCCUGUGAGGUCAAGGCCCACAGCUUGAGAGCGUAGCUGCUGGAAUCCAAAGCCGGGUCUUUCUGGCCGUGUCCACUCUGCUUCUUAAUAAAUAGGAACUUUGCACAAGGUCACACAGCUGUUUGCUGGCUGAGCUUGGCUAGAAAUGUGCUCUCACUCUCUAUAUACGUUUUCUUGAAGGCAAAUGAAGAGAUUCAGAUACGAACACAGACUCGUCAGUGGAUGAGGGUCUGCAACCUGGUCCUCCUCUUUCCACACAACUCAAUUGUAAAAGCAACUGAGAGUGGUGCUCAUUCGUCAGGCAUGGCUGGCCGGGCAUACUCACAGUCCUUUGCAAAUGAUUAAUUGGCAUAGUACUGAGCUCAGUGUGAAAUAAUCACUAGUGAAGUGGUUAAUGUUUGCUAAAUGUUGCUGAAUGCACCACCACCCAUAGUUGAAGAGUCCCUGUUAGAGGGAUCUCUUCAGGUAUAAACAAGGUUUGGGGUUGCUCACAGGUCAGGGCAUACUCUCAUGAACAUCUGCCCUCCCUGGUCCUGAGAUUGAGAUGUAACUGCAUGACAGGGUUGCUCUCUGGAGGGAGGGAAGGCAUCUAAACAUGGCUACAACCCUUGUGUUGUUACACUUCACAGAUGACUUAAUUUUCAUAGUGAAGUAUUAUGAUUUUUCUUCCCAAAAUAUGGAAACUGAGGCAGAAAUCUGGGGACCAGCAGGAUUAGAAGUAGUACUGGGGGUCCGGCGCCGCGGCUCACUAGGCUAAUCCUCCGCCUUGCGGCGCCGGCACACUGGGUUCUAGUCCCGGUCAGGGCGCCGGAUUCUGUCCCGGUUGCCCCUCUUUCAGGCCAGCUCUCUGCUGUGGCCAGGGAAGUACAGUGGAGGAUGGCCCAAGUACUUGGGCCCUGCACCCCAUGGGAGACCAGGAUAAGUACCUGGCUCCUGCCAUCGGAUCAGCGUGGUGUGCCGGCCCCCGCGCACUGGCCACGGCGGCUAUUGGAGGGUGAACCAAUGGCAAAGGAAGACCUUUCUCUCUGUCUCUCUCUCACACUGUCCAUUCUGCCUGUCAAAAAAAAAAAAAAAAAGUAGUACUGGGAAUCUUAGAUGUGUGGAGCUAGUGGGGAAAACCCACAGUUGUAAUUCAUACCUCUGGAUAAUCAAAAAGCGUUUACUGAGCCCUGUUCCACUUAACAGGAGUCUUCAAAUCCUGUUAUUGGUUAACACAUUAACAGGUAUCUCAUUUGGACAUGCAAAUAUCCCAAAUAGAGAUGAUCUAAAUCUAUCUGAGACAUGGAGGGCUGGAAACUAUCCUAGCACAAAAUUUAAAGAUUUGAGUUGUACCUGUCUUAAUUUCUUUUAACCUUGAGUAACUUAGUCCCUCUCUCUGGAUUUUCAUGCCUAUGGAAGCAGCAUAGUAUAGAGAAAUCACAUAGAUUUUGAAGACAGGCACAGCUAGAAUAAAAUCUGUUUCAGCAACAGACUAAUAGUGGGCUUAAGCAAGUCACUUAAUAUUGCUCACGUGACCUUCCAGUAUUAUCAAAAAAUGAAGAUAAUAAUAUGCAGCUUAUAGGGCUCCAUAAGAGCUGUAAAUAAUGACACACAUUUAGAAGGCAAGUUGUUGCAUAGCAAUCUCUCAAAAGAGGCAGCUCUACAUGGGAGAAUGUUUGACUAAGUGAUCUCUAGACCCUUGCAUGAACUGUCACUAUUUUUUCAAACAUGUUGACUUCUGUUUAUGGGAGAACUUACUACAAACCAACUACUAUGCCAAGGGCUAGGUUUGUAUUAUCCCAUUAAAUCAUUGUAAUUUUUAAGAGAUACUACCAAAACCCUUGCAAAUAAGGACUCCUGGGCAUAGGGAAGAAAAGAAAGCUGCCUCUGUCAUAAAGAUUGUGAUGGAGCCAAGAGCUGAAUCUAAAUAUCAAUGAUUCCAGAGCUCCACUGUUAAAAUAUACCUGUUCUUAUAUACCAGCAUAUGUUAUUACUUUUGUAGGAAAUACUGGACCCAGGUUUCCUCUUCUCCUCUAGUUCAAGUAUACAAGCUGAUGACAUUGUCAGUCUUUGUGGAUACCUUAAUGGCAUCGAGUCAAAACCCAGCACCAACCCUAUAAAUACUUUCAACAAAAGUUGUAACUGAAAACAUUUGUCAGUGCCGUGAAGAAAGUGAGAGUCGGAUAUCUGAUGGUGCAUGUUCUCAGUGAAUGGAAGAGUUAUUUGAAUUGAUCAUGAAAAUCAAGAUGCUUGACUAUCAGCUCAGUUUUUGCUCUAUUAUUGCAUGUCGUAGGUUAGACAAUUGGUGAGGAGGUAGAUUAUUGAAUUCCCUAUCUCCACAUUUUCUGAGCUGCUAUAACCUGCCAGGCAGACUACUAGGGACAACGAAGAGGAAGAUAUUUUUUUGACUGUGAAAAGUACUGAUCUGUAGCAUUUAUAUAGAGUAAUUGAUCCCACCAAGGCCCAUUUAAAGCUGCAAAUACAAGGACCCUGAACUUAUAGUAGGGAAGAAUUGUACUUGCCUCUUGGACUCCAUCUCUCUGCUACCGGCUUCUUAAAUGCUUGUGUGCGCUUUUCAGGGAUACAUGCUCCUGCUGUGCUGACUUAAUGUCCACUCAUCCUUCAGGUCUCUGCUCAAAUGUCACUUCCUUAGAAACUUUGCCUGGACUCGUGUCCCAGAUGGAGAUUCUUGUGAGAGCUGAUGAGGCUUUUCCCAUCUGUCCCACUGUUUCAUGAGAUACAAGACAGCUGAAUCCCUCAAGAGAGAAAUACUGGCUAUGCCCACUAGUGAGAAGCCUUGGGUUGGUUUUGGAGACCAGUGUCAUGUGCACACAACCUUGAAGCAAACAUUUCCUGUUAAAAUGACUGUUGGAGACAGUCCUAAGUCCCAAGGCAACUUUUGAAUCAGAUCAAACCCAAUCUCUGCAUAAAAUAGCUAAAAAGAGUCAGAUCAUCUGAAGACAUUGAUUUAGUAAAAGGUUUUGGAAAUAUUAAAGCAGCACUAUUGCCUUCUCUCUAGAGGUUACUGAGCUGAUUUGGAUAAAAUAAGAAAUGACUUGACCCCUUAGCCUUGAACAAAAUCAGGACAAAAUUAAAUAUUUGAACUUUAAACAAGUUCCCCCAACUUCACCCCUAUGGGUGUGUCAUGCUUCUGCUUUCCACUCCUAAUCUCCACUCAUGGCCCACUAGGGGAUGUCCUGACAGAGGUCAUCUCUUCCUGGGGUAUUUCUGGCCUCAUUCAAAAUAGGAAAGACCCCAAGUCUCCUGAGGUUCUUGUCUCAUGAGAUUUCCCAUCUGAAUCUGCAGUCCCGAGAGAGAGGGUGGGGGGGAGCGUUUGCAGGACUUGCCUGCUGGUCGAACUAAAGAGAGCCUCCAACUCUUCAGAGGGUCACAUGUUACCAUUUGUCGCCAUGACUGGGGAAAUUGAUUUUUCUCAUCUGCUGUAACAUCAAGAGCUUUCUGGUGUCUCCUCUUGGAGACAAUAGGCCUGUGUAGAGACACUCUUAUUGAACUCUUCUGUGCAGAGAGUGAGGGGGAAGCAAAGUUAUGAAGAACAAUCAUAGACUUAAUCUUUACAAGCCACAUACCCUUGUAGCUGACAUUCACAGAGCUCCCACCGUGACCCAGAUUCAUGCAAGCAUUUCACAUGCAAGAUCUCAUGUAAUCCUCACAAGGACUCGACACAUUAGUGGUUCCCACAUUAGCACUGCGCAUGCCAGGAUUCAGAGUGAUUAGCCAGAUUGUCUAUAGUGACAGCGAGUGUAAGAGGUAUGUAGCAAAAUGGACACUCAAAUCUAGGUCUGAUGCUAAGCUCAGAACUGUACCGAUAUCCCACCUAACAGAAGUUGACAGAACAAAGCAGUUUCAUGCAGGAAAGAAGAAUUUUUUGGUGAGCACAUCACAGAGGCUGUAUUUCCUUACUUCCACUGACAAAGCUACUCCUCCUCAGAAACUUGCCUGAGUGUCUUCCAGAUCUUGCAGACAGAUAGAAGCCAUGGACACGUAGGACAGUGUCCUGUCUGCCUUUCUGUUGCUAAGCACGCAAUACUACAGACUGCGUAAGUUAUAAAGAAGAGUUUUAUUUUGGCUCAUGGUUCAGGUUUAAGGUUGAGAGAGCUCAUCUCUGGAUGGCCAUUUUUCUGGCAGGAUCCUGAGUUGGCCCAAGGCAUCUCAUAGUGAGAGACAGGGAGUGUGGGUGUGUGCGUGUUCUGGUUUCUCUCCCUCUUCUUAUAAAGCCGCCAGUAUUCAGUCAUGCGAGCUGCACCCUGACGACUUUAUCUAGUCCUAAUCCCUCCCAGAGGCCCCACCUCUGUAUACCACAUUCAGAUUAAGUUUCCAUCCUCUCAAUACCUCACCUUGGGGAAUAAUUCCAGCAUGAGCUUCAGAGGGGACAGCCCAUAUUCUAAACACAGCAGAUAUGUCCAAGGUCACCAGCAGAUGUGGCUUUUAACCUAAGGCCAUUUUCUUUAUCCUCCAGCCUCCUGCUUAAGGACAUAAUUGGCUCGCCUUCUCAUUUCUUCAUACAGAGCCAAGCUGCAUGAUAGGUCUUAAAUAAACAGUGAAAAAAUGUUUUUAAUAACUUUAUUCCCAUUGCACAUAUACAUGUCUUGGAUUCAACAACAGGAAAUAUUUGGGUCUUUCAUGACUGAUUUCAACAUUUUUUUAAACUUUUCCACACAUAAUAGCUGUCUUAAAAGCCUUCUGUUUUUUCUCACCAUGCAGUCAAGGGCCAGUAACCUGCUUCUGGUGUAGUACAGAGGCCAUGAAAGUGGAAUUUCCUAAAUACAGUUUGAAUGACAGAUUCUGCCUUAAGGCUGCCUCUGCUGUUUGUCCUGAAUAAACAGUGCUCAAGGUGCUGAGUGGAUUCUGCAUUUAGCCUUCUCUGCUACAAACAGCUUCACUGUAGGUGAGGGCAGCUGACUUGCUGGGACCUCCUGAGGAUCUGAGGAGGAGGCCAGGCCAGAGUCUGGCUCAGUAAAGGAUUGGGUGGCUUUAAAAUUGGCCUGAAAAUGUUAAGUCAAGCAGACUAAAGAGAUCUGUUCAAAUUAUGGGGAAAAUCUAGGGUGAUUCUAGUCUAAGCAGUUGAGUUUGAAGGGUGAUGGGUAAAUUCCAAGUUAGAUCAUGUGGUCGUUAUAUCAGAUCUGACCCCAUUAAAAGUGGUUGAAUAAACCAGAGGGAGGUAAGUUACACCUGCUGAUCACUUUAUCUGUGUCAUGCUUUAUGCAUGGGUUAGAUUAAUAUAGGGCUGUAGGAUAGGAUAGACUGGACUGCAUCCCAAGCCUGCAUCUUCAGCUAGGAGAAUGGAGCAAAGAGAUUGUUCAUACUGGGUCGCCUCCUUAAUUCUUUGUUUUUUGGGGGGAGUCAUGGCAGAAUUCUACUCAGCUAAACUCAAUAGGAUAGGUUCCUUGCAGGGAGGAAGUGUCCAGUUAACAGAAGCAAAGAGAGUGUGAAUGGAGCAGGCCCAAACAACAAGUGUGCAUUUCCAUGAUUGAGUUCCAAGUCCUCUCUGAUGUUGGUGCUAGGGAGUUUAUCUCUGCACUGAGGGCAGGAUGUGCCUUAGUGGGGGAGGAACCAUCCAGAAUUCCAGAUUCUGGAAGAUUGAGAUGAACAACAGAGUAGCACAUUUUACUCUAAUGAAAGAUAAGCUCCCUAGUUAUUCAGGGGAAAUGAAAAAGUAAUUCUCUACCUUAAAAGGAAUGGGUAAUUUACACAAAGGCCAUGGGCUCACUGCCAGGCAUCAAUAAAGUAAAAGCCAGAGGGAGAGGAGGAUCCCAGUCUUAAGGAGGAUAGGGUCAACCAUUCUCACUAUGUUAGGCGUAUUAACCAAAAAGAGAGGCACGGGGCCCUUGCUGUGGUGUAGCAGGUAAAGCCGCCACCUGCAGUGCCAGCAUCCUAUGUGGGCGCUGGUUCGAGUCCCGGCUGCUCCACUUUGGAUUCAUCCCUCUGCUAUGGCCUGGGAAAGCAGGAGAAGAUGCUCCAGGUCCUUGGACUCCUGUACCCAUAUGGGAGACCUGGAAGAAACUCCAGGCUCCUGGCUUUAGAUUGGCCCAGGUUUGGCUGUCGUGGCCAUUUGGGAAGUGAAUCAGUGGAUGGAAGAAUCUCUCUCUCUCUUCCUCUCUCUCUGCCUCUGCCUCUCUGUUACUCUGCCUUUUGAUAAAUAAAUUUUUUAAAAAAGAAAGAAAACCAUUUUAAAAAGACAGGGAGGCACAGCCUGUCUGACUUCAGCACCCUGAGAGAUGCAUGGAAGGGUGGUUAUGGUUGAACUGGGAGAGGGUAUGUAAUUACACUGUAGCCUCCAAACCAAGUGCAGAAUCCAACACAGCUUACUCUUCAGCAAAUUUUUGUGCAAGCUGCAGGAUACAGCUUGUGAGGUAUAGAUAGCAUUUUGAGUAUUUCCAACAUAGAAGGAAAUCCAUUAAAAGAUCAUUUUAAGAAAGCGUCCAAUACCUAGAGCAGGUAGGAAUACCGUAAGACGUCACAAUGUGGUCUAGUUUAAAAUGUUGGAUGGAAGUGCCACAUUGAGGGAGUUUCUCCAACGUUCCAUCCUGGGGGCUGUAAGUCUCUGUUGGUGUUGCUCAAAGAGGUCAUGUAGUGCCUGGAAGGAAAAGAUGAGGUCAAGAUGAGGCUGAAAGGAGAAGAAGAAAAGCCCCUCCUUAUCUACACAUCCUGAAAAGGAGCUGAGACUUUGUCCUGUAGGCAGUAGGGAAGCAUGGAUUUCUAAGUGGGGCGAUAUGAUCAGGUUCAUAGCUGCAAAGGCUGGAGUUGGAGGGUUAAGGAGAAUAAAAAUGAAAGGAAGGAAAGUGGCAUGGUUCACAAGAGGAAUGCUCAGUGAGAGCUGAGACAUGCAGGUGGAACUCAAGUGAAAUAUCAGAUUUAAUGUGGGAGUGACUGUCUAUUUUUGCUUACCAUUUUAUCCCAGGGACUACAAAGUGUCAUCUAGAUGUAUGUAUGUAUGUACGUAUAUAUGUAUGGGUAUGGUCAUUCUAAAUUAUCCCAGGGUGUGUGUGUGGGUGGGUGUGUGGAGAGACAGACAGACAGACAGACUACCAUGUAUAUGAUGAUGCUUCAAAAAGUUCAUGGAAAAUUCAUGUUAUAAAAUAAUGCCUAGAUUUCAAAAACUUUUUGCAUCCAAAUAAGCUUAUCUUUUAAUUUCAUUUUCAUGAUGUCUUUGUGCCUUUAUAUGCAUGUGCACCCACAAACUUACAGAAUCUUAAAGGAGUUCACGGAACAAACGUACUAUGCCAAAAAAGAUUUGUAACAAAUAAACGUCCUUUGAUUCCAUUUUCGAUGGGCUUCUUAGAGCCCCCUUGUUUGCUGAAUAAGUACCAGAAGUGUUCUUGUGAAGUUGAAGGACCUCCGUACAAAUGAGUAUUCAACAGCUGGUUAGAGCAGGAAGGCGGGGAGUUGGCUGUAAGCUACACAUCGCUAAUUAGAUAUCUCCCAGUGACCAGAGAGCUGACUCAGGGUGUAUGAGCACGUGUUGGAGGGUGUUGAGGGCAGCAGUCUAAAGCUCAUGGUUUCCUUACAAUCUUUCCUGCUCCCUCACCUUUGACCUUGGAGGUGCCUCUCCCUGGACCCUCCCUGCCCCUGCAUGUCUCUUGGAGCUGGUUCUCAGCUACUCAAGUUACUAGUCCUUGCUUACCCUAAAGGUCAUCACACACAGCAUUCCUUCUCCACCCCACUCGGGGAUUCUUAAAUGUUGCCUUAUUUCCAUACUCCCAGCAAUUUCUAGCAAAUUCAUUCCGACUCAUUUUUUAAUAAGCUCCUGGGUCUUUAGAUCAGACCUUAAGUAUUUCACUUGAUUUGUAUUUGGGGUGGGGAGGGGAGAAAAAAACGACCAAUGAAACAUGAUGGCCCUCUAUUAAAUGGCAAAUAUUUAUUGGACUUUUUGAAAUAUACCCAAUACUUUGAGGCCUCUAGGAAAAUAAUAAAACUGUACACUAAGCAACCUGUGAAAUUCACCACUCAGUACCUGAAGCUCAGCUGUCCCCGUUGGUGUUUGUGGGUGCAGGCCACUUGGGCCUGACUGUCUUGAUGAACAGAGAGAGAGUGGUGCAGAAACACUGCCUACAACUCAGUGAUUCUUCGUCAUGGGACAACUAACACGAUAAUAAUAAUCUACCUUGUGCAUUCUUUCUAACCUCUUGCUUUGGUGUGUGAGUUGCCUCUCUGGCCUUCAAUAGACUUAGAGGAAUUUACCUGAUGAUUUUUAAAGUGUAAUUUUACCACAGUCAGAAGAAUAUAAAUGGCAUAAUUGACCAGAAUUGUCAUUUCUUGAGUCUCACCUGUGAUAUUCAGAAUAUCCAGAAAACAAAGAAACCAAUGUUUGUUGAGCACCUACUAUGUGCCAGGCAUUAAGUUAAGUGCUCUUUUGAUCCAUUCUCAUUUAAUCUUCAUGAGAUUUCUGUAUUGAAAUUUUUAUUAUCUCUUAUAAAUUAGAAAAGGGCAGCUCAAGAGAACUUGAGCAAGUUGAGGCUUACAUAAGAAGUAAGGUAUUCAGGAUUCACACUGAUGUCUGCCUGUUAACUUUGCUUUUUAAGAGCUGUGGUUUCAGGAACAGCACUGCCAGCUGCUAUCAGUUUUGUGUCCAGUCCCUGGCUUCAUUUCUGGAUGAUUCUAGUCUAGAGGGUAGGAGGAUGGGCUCAUAAGCAUGUUUGAGUCUUUGUUAGCACAUGGUUGAUCUCAGGCAGGUAAUGUCAGAAUCUGUAAUCCAAAACAGUGAAAGCUAAAUGUUCUAACAUCCAAAGCAUCUUAUGCAGCAACAUGAUACACUAAAAUAUUGUAUAGUGUUAUUUUCAGCCUAUGUAUAUAAAGUAAGCAUAAAAUGUAAGUGAAUUUUGGAUUUAGACUUGAAUCUAAUCCUCAAGACAUCUCAUUACAUAUAUGCAAAUAUUGUAAAAUCUGAAAACUUCUGAAAUUCAAAGCACUUCUGUCCCCAAACAUUUCAGAUAAGGGAUAUUCAGUCUGUAAUUUUGGACCUCAGUUCCAUAAAAUGGAAAUGGAGUUUAUCAAAGUAAUUUUGAGGAUUAUAGUAGAUGAUUUUUAGAGAGAAAAGAGUAAAUAUUUCAAUAGGUGCUCCAUAAACAUCAAAUACUCAUUUUUCUGUACUGUGUCACUUCCUAGAACCUCUGCUGUUUCAUUAAUAAAUUGGGAAGAUUACUCCAGGAACUUUUGUACUCACACGAGAGUACUUAAAGGGUUAAAAUGGUAGUAUACUGAAGAGCUUUGUGCAGUAUGAAUCAAUCCAUUUUCUCUCUCCUUCCCACUCUCUCUCUCCUUCUCUGCUCAUGACUAUUUUUAAUGUGUUCUUAGAAUUUCUAUUGGCUCUGAGGUGAGUCUGCAUCCAGGGCUCUGUUGAGCCAGGACUUGGGGCUUGGUGAUGUUUGACAGGUGAGGCUGUAUAUUCAGUUCUGACAGCUGCAGUAACAAAUGGCCACAACGUUAAUGACUUAAUACAGCACACAUUAUUCCUUCACAGUUAAGGUCGGAUGUUUAGAAUUUCUGCUGCCAGGCUGAAAUGAAGGUGUCUGCAGAGCUGUCCCCGUCAAGAAGGUUCAGGGGAGGAUCUAUUUGUCACUCCUGUGGGUCUGGAGGCCAGUGUUCCUUGGUGGUGGCCCCAGUAACCUAAUUUCUGCCUCUGUAAUUACAGUGCCUUUUUCUCUUAGGUGAAGUCAGGUUGUCGUCCUUCUCCAUCUUGUAAAGACCAUUGUGGUUGCCUUGGGCCCAUCCAAAUAAUCCAGAAUAAUCUCCUGACCUCAACGAUCUCACCUUAAUCACAUCAGCCAAGUCCCUUUGGCUGUGUAAGGGAACAUAUCCAUAGGUCCCGCAGUGAGGACAUGGGUAUUUAUUCAGUUGGCACCAGGCAUGCUAACAGAAGAAGCCUGCCACCAAGUCUGGGAGGAGAAUGAGCUGUUUUAUAGGGAAGUGUGGAUUGCCCUUGUGUCUCUUCCUAAUUUGCUUUGUCUUCUCUCUCUUCCCUCCGUCUUCCCUCUCUUUUCCUCUUUCCCUUCCCUUCCCCCUUCCCUCCCCUCCGACUAUUCCCUCCCCUUCUUCUCUUCCCUCCCCUCCUAACAUGCUCCCUUCCCUUUCCUCCCCUCCCACCAUUCGCCCUCCCCUCCUUUUCCUUUCCACCAGUGAUUUAUUCAUUGAUGAAUUCAGUACAUUUAUUGUGGUAAUUUCUAUGGGUACAGAGAUAAAAGCAGUAUCCUGUUCUGGGGGAGUUCUAAGUUACUGGAAUUGGUGGGAAGCAAAUAGUCAUUGAUAGGAAACCUGGAAUGAGGCACCUCAUUCUGACCAGGAGUGGGCGUGGUGUAGCAGGAAGACCAGAGCACCUGAACCAGACAGUUUGACAUGAAUGGUAGCCACCUUCCCAUUGACUGGCCAGCCCCUAUAUGAUCAGGGUCUCAAGGUUUCCAAGCCUCAGUUUUUUCAGGUGCAGCAGAGUGGUUAUGGGCGGAGGUGCAGUGACAGUCAGCAAGGUAACGUCGUUGUCGACUGGCGUCUCUUGCACCUGCCUCCCUCUCCUCCUGGUUUGCAGACUUUUGACUUGGGCACUGCUAGAGACGGUUACAUGCAAUCAGAGGUUGCCAUGAGGCUUCUUCUCAGCAGCCCAAACUCUCAGUUAUUCUAAUUCUUUAGUAAUUAUUGUCCGUGGCAUUGGCUUGUGGUUUAAGACGGUGUUUCCUGGAAUUUCCCUAAAAGUAAUGCAAACUGGAUGCCUUAAAACAGCACACAUUUGUUCUUUCAAGUCUGUGGAGGCCCCAAAUCUAAAAUCCAAGAGCCAGGAGGGCUGGUGUCUUCUGGAGCUACUGAGGGAGGAACUGUCCCUGGCCUCUCUCCCAGCACCAGGUGGUUGCCUGUGAUGCUAGGUAUACUUUGUGAUGUAGCCGCAUCACCCCAGUCUCUGUCUCCACCUUCACGUGACCUUCUUCUCUGUGUCCAUCUCUGUCUCUUAAAAGGACGCUGUCACAGGAUUUAGUGCCCAGCCACAUCUGGUGUGAUCUCCUCUACAUCUUUGCCUUAGUCAUACCUGCAGAGGCCCUUUAUCCAAGUAUGGUUGUGUUUUGAGGUUUCAGUGGGACCAGCCACAUGGACAUAUGACUUGACCAGUUACUUGGGGCCCCAUGUACAGAAGGCGACCACUCUUGCCAUAUUAAAGCUGAAGACUUGGUGCAGAAUUGGCACUCGGAAAACGCUGACCAGUGAUGGCAGGAACUAAGAAAUGAAGGAUCAGACAGACUAAAGUUGGAGUUGCAGCUGGAGUCCUAGAGAGAUUUUAACCGUCAUUGUGUCCGAUGCCACCUGUGUUCUCAUUCAUCUCAGUCAGGAAUCCAACUCUGUUGCCAGAAGGACAGAGAGUGUACAGUGGGACAAAUCUCCAGGAGAGUUGCUAAGUAUAGAGCCCAACUGGUGGCUAUUCAUCAGUGAUGCUAAUGGUUCAAGAUGAUUCUACCUUCCUUAGAAAUGUCAGAAAGGGUUGAGAAAAGACCCAAAUACCCCAACAAGGCCCCCAGGAUACUCUUUCUUAAGUAAAUAUUACUUGUCACCAUCACCAUCAUCACUGCCAAUAAGAUUAGCACCGUGAUCAAGAAACUUACCAUUUUGACUCCUAGGCUUGAAACUCUAAUUUCUGAUUGUUAUCUCAGGAACUCCUCCAGCUUCAGGUUGGGCACACUCCUUUCACAAACAGCCAGAAGGAAUAUGAGAACUCUGGAGCUAAUGAAUGAGAUGCUUCCUUACUAAGAGCCUUUAACCAUGCAUCCCUUGGAAGUACCUAAGGUAGUGAUGCAUGCUUUUUAGAAAUAAUUUGAUUUAUCCCAGAGUGGGCAGGACACUCCACGCCUUGGUAGGCACCCAAAGGCAGAUGACAGGAUGACUGUCAUGGAGUUCCUGGGGGCUGGCACACAGCUUGGCUCUAUUGGCCUGUUACAGGGAGGGAUGCGGCAUUCAUUACCAGCUUAGAGUAUCAUUGCAGAGAUAAGGACAACAAUAGGUCUUUAUCUAGUGAUAAAUUAUUAUCAGUCAUAUUAUUUUCCCUUAUUUAUAUAUGGGUCACUUUAUUGAAUUUAGUAGGAGAUAAAUAAAUAAUCUGCCAAGGAUCUGGUAAUAUUACUUCUCAGGGACUCAUUUUAGACCCAGCUAGAUUCCUACUGAUAACGUCUGUAAGCUUUUCAGGAGGGAGAGGCAUAACAUUUGUUUCUGACAAGAACCCUCUGUUUGCCUUAUCUGUUUCAUUUGAGAGGCCAUUGACCCCCAGCUUCUCUGGCUAAAAUGAACUCUUUACAACCAAGUAGGAGUUGUUGAACUUGACUUUUACCACACAGCGUGACAGGGUGCCCCAGCUGCAGAUCUGAGGACCUCUGUCAUCCACAGCCAGGCCUACUGCUUCCUGUUGGCAAGGGACAUGGUGUUGAAUUUCUCUUCUGCAAAUAUAUUAAUACAAAAAUUCAGUUUUUUAAUCUGAAUAUUCUUUCUUGGUCUGAAUUGAAUUUUUUUUUAAUUACAGCAUUAUGAAUUUUUUAACAAAUUUGUAUUUUUAUUUAUUUUUAUUUUUAUUUUUUUUGGCAGGCAGAGUGGACAGUGAGAGAGACAGAGAGAAAGGUCUUCCUUUUGCCGUUAGUUCACCCUCCAAUGGCCGCCGCGACCGGUGCACCACGCUGAUCUGAUGGCAGGAGCCAGGUACUUCUCCUGGUCUCCCAUGGGGUGCAGGGCCCAAGCACUUGGGCCAUCCUGCACUGCACUUUCCUGGCCACAGCAGAGAGCUGGCCUGGAAGAGGGGCAACCAGGACAGAAUCCGGCGCCCCAACCAGGACUAGAACCCGGUGUACCGGCGCCGCAAGGUGGAGGAUUAGCCUAGUGAGCCGCGGCGCCGGCGCAUCAUGAAAUUUUUGAAGAAUACUAAUAGAUACUAAAACUGAUAUAUGUCAAUGAAGAUUACUCCUAAGCCACAAUUUAAAAAAAAUAGGCUGAAGUUUCCACUAAUAAUAUACAGUAGGACUAUAAGCUCAGAUAUCCAGUUUACUUCUUAGACCCACCAUUCAAUUACUCUGACAUUUUAUGCAUUAUGUUGAAGGCAUCUUGCUACAUGGGUCUGAGAAGCUUUGACUCUUUCUGUCUUUGCAGACCAUUCAGAAUUCUAGACACUGUUCUCUGAGCUUUGAUCUAUAUUUCCAGAUAGCCAAGUGCUCCGCUUGGGGCCUCAUGAUGUUGGUGCACAUCAUUGUGCAUUGCUGUGUUUAGGAGGUUUCCCCUUAUCCUAGACAGAGUCUGGAGGAUCCCCCUGGUAUCACAGUCUCUCAUACUCUCAUGGUUUAGUAGGUGGUUUGGUGUGGAGCAGGAUUUUAGUAAAUGUUUAUGGUCAAGUUUCUUUCCUAUAAAGUGUAAUGUGACAGUGUUUCCCUUCAGUGCUGGUUUCAGUUUUUUCUUUCUUUGGUGUCAUUUGUAAGAGAAAUGUCCCUGUUCCCCAUUAGACUGUAAGUUCUAUGACAGCAGAAUUUGUGUAUAUAUGUACAUGGCAUUUCCCCCACCGUUCCUGGCAUUUAGGUGGUGUUCAUACAGUUAACAUAUGCUUACCAACUAUGAGUGAGUGAGUGAAUGGUUUUAUGGGUUUUGGCUCAAGGUCUGUACAUGUUGGGGAAUGUCACACAAUUGUGUAGAAUGCCACACAUCUGAAUCAGGCCUGAUUCAAAUUAAGUUUCUUUUAUUUAUUUAUUUAUUUUUAAUUAUUUUUUGACAGGCAGAGUUAGAGAGAGACAGAGAGAAAGGUCUUCCUUCUGUUGGUUCACCCCAAAAAUGGCCGUUGUAGCUGGCUCACUGUGCUGAUCUGAAGCCAGGAGCCAGGUGCUUCCUCCUGGUUUCCCAUGCGGGUGCAGGGCCCAAGCACUUAGGCCAUCCUCCACUGCCUUCCCGGGCCAUAGCAGAGAGCUGGACUGGAAGAGGAGCAACCGGGACAGAAUCCAGUGCCCCAACCAGUACUAGAACCCGGUGUGCCAGUGCCACAGGUGGAGGAUUAGCCAAGCGAGCCGUGGCACCGGCCUCAAAUUAAGUUUCAACACAGCUCUUGGAGGGGAGGAGAAAUCUUAACUUCUCUGUGCUUCAAUUUCUUCAUCUGUAAAAUGUGAGAAACAUCUCAGGGAUGAUGCUAAGGACAAAGAACCAGUGAAUCCAGUGAUUGUGAAAGCCCCCAGUUCACUCUGAGGCACUGUUUUGUUGUUAGUGACUCUCUUUGAGUCAUGUGCUAGCCUUGGCCACUUGCUUACACAGGUGCCAUUAUGUAGUAAAGUGGGCCCACAGGAGGCUCAGCAAAAGGAUCUGGACCCAGAUGACCCUCAGGUUGUGUUAUCCUUGGUAUGUAAUGAGAAAAUUGGCUGGAAAGAGGAAGUUGUAUUGCUAUGACAAGACGUGCCCCUGGACCCUUCAACUCUGUACAUUCUCCUCUUGGAGAUAUUAAAUGGUCUUCCCUUAAUCUAACCUUCUCUCCUCUUUGGAACCUUCUUUAAUGCAUCCCAGAUGGUCCAUUCUCUUCUGAAAUUUUUCCCCCAUAAUCUUUUCUGCCCUCUCUUUUCCAUCCUUUGAUUGAACCAGGACUUAAUUUAUAACUGCUAUGGAGCAGACCAAGAAAAUCCCUUUACAUGGAAGGGAGUGGGGAAGAACUCUGGAGUCUGACAAUUACUGGUGUUGCAAUGGGCUGUAUGUACAUCAUCCCCCUCAACCAGUGAGUGGAAUCUUGUCUAAACCUUUCUCUGUGCUCUGUACACAGCACACCCUCUUUGAAAUGCCAGCAUCUGACUGUGAGCACACUCACUGACUUGCCCUGAAAUUAUUGAAGAUACUCUAACUAAUGAGUUAACUUCUGGCUACAAUUCAGUUUAAACUGAAAUAAUUUUGAGUUACAGUGGUUUUGGCAUUUCUGUAAUUGAACAGCAUCAUGUUUAAAGAGGCAAAUGUGGGAAAAUACCUUCCCUGUCUUGCAGCUGGCCAAGUUUUGUCACACACACACACACACACACACACACACAUACACACAGAGAAGAUACAGGAUACUGUAUGUCUAAAAUGAAUAAAAGUAGACAUCAUCCCUAUUAUUCUUUAAGAGUUUAAAAAAUACAGAUGAUAGACAUUUAGUCCCAAGAAUUAUUUACGCUGAUAACAGUUCUCAAGUAAGGAUGUGAUUUUAUCACAGUGACAAGAAGGUAUUCCUAUGGAAAGCACACAUUGGCCAUGAUCCAAAGAAUGAGUAGGAAGUCACUGGACAAGGACAGUUUUUCUGGACAGAUGAGACAUCACAUUCAAAGACCCUAUGACUGAGGAAGCUCAGUCCCUUAACAAAGUAAUACCAGUGACUGAGAGUCUUUUUUUUUUUUUUUUGCUGAUGGCAAAAAUGAGGCUCAGAGGUGAAAAUGCCUUGUCUUAGGUCCCACAGUGAGUUAUGAAGAAGAUGUACCAUCAUCUUUUGUUUAUUUUUCCCAGUAGUACCCACCAAAUAGACAGUUGAGGGCUUACCACCAAGUUGUGAGGAGCUGCCAAGAAGCCUCUGAUCACAAAGCCCCAGAGCACUCUCAUCAAUCAUCAGUGGAGAAACCCCAAUCUUUCCGAAUAGAAUUUUAUCCUACCUCAACUUUUCCUUUCUUCUUAUUUAACUUCCUUCCUAUAUUAGUGUCAAAAGUAGAUUAUUUUGGGUGAAAUCAGUGGUAUUCCAUAGCAUCAUGAAGACAUUCCCUGUAUUUCCAUCUUUUAUAAUAUUUAUACUGUUUGGUAGACUAGUGUAUCUUCCUUAGAAUUUCAGAACUGUGAUCAUCUUUUUUUUUUUUUUGGACAGGCAGAGUGGACAGUGAGAGAGAGAGAAAGGUCUUCCUUUUGCCAUCGAUUCACCCUCCAAUGGCUGCCGCGGCUGGUGUGCUGCGGCUGGCGCACCGCGCUGAUCCGAAGGCAGGAGCCAGGUGCUUCUCCUAGUCUCCCAUGGGGUGCAGGGCCCAAGCACUUGGGCCAUCCUCCACUGCACUCCCAGGCCAUAGCAGAGAGCUGGCCUGGAAGGGGGGCAACUGGGACAGAAUCCGGCGCCCCGACUGGGACUAGAACCCGGUGUGCCGGCGCCGCUAGGUGGAGGAUUAGCCUAUUGAGCCGUGGCACCGGUGUAAUCGUCUUUUUAAUCUCUACUCACUCAUCACCUGCUGUAUGAAAUUUGCCUAGGGACCCAUGGUUAAAUCAUUCCUUUAACUUUUCUCCAGAAAUAAUUUGACUGUGGCAGCAUUUUAACCACCAUAUCCUGCAUAGUCUGUAGAUCUGUUUUCACAGUACUAUUGGUCAGCUUGGACUUCCAUGAUAGAACACUUUGGACCUGUGGCUUAAAAGAAAACAUGUGUUUUUUGUAAUUGUGUGGGAUAGAAGUCCAAUAUCAAGGUGCCAGAAGAUUUCCAGUGUCUGGUGAAAACCCUGUCUGUGGUUUGCAGUUGGCUGCCUUCUUGCUUUGUCUUUACAGCAGAGGAAGACACACACACACACACACUCACUCACUCACACACACACACACACACACACAGAGAGAGAGAGAGAGAGAGAGAGAGAGAGAGAGAAGCCUGUCUCAUGUCCCUUCUUAGAAGGAAUCUCAUUUGUGAAAGAACCUAAUUACCGCCCAAAGGCCCAAUUCCAAAUAAUUUCACAUUAGGGAUUUUGGCUUCAGCACAGGUCAAUAGAAAGUUUCUAUCACUUCAACAAGAGAAUGGAUUUCUUGAGGACAGUUUUUUAUUCCCACUCUAUACUCCUUAUCUGAGAGUCUGGGUCACAGUGAAUGCUAAUGGAUCUAUGGGAAAUGAAUUCUAAUAGUUUUCUCAUAGAUAUCCUUUUCCCUUUCUAUUGCAAGUUCCUUUUAGAGAACUACUUCGUAAAAUUUCAAAGUACACAACAAUUAAAAGGGUAGUUUGAUGAACCUUGUGUCCAUCCAGUUUCAAAGAUCUUGGCUAUUCUUUUGAGAGUAAAACUCCUCCUCUGCGGAGAACAUCUAUGCAGUGGGGGCCAGAAGGACACCAUUCUGUAGUCGUUGAUUAAUUCCCAUCAAGUUUGGACACAGUUUUCUUCCCAAAAAUAACAUCAAUAGAACUCCUAGCAAGUGAAUGUCCUCCUAAGGCAAUUCUGAAGACAAAAAAGCAAUAUAAGAACACACUUCCCAAUAAUGUGAAGAUCUAUGGCUGUACUAAAUAAAAAUGUUCUCUUAAUGUACUGUAAAAAAAAAAUAAAAAUGUUUGGCUAGAUUUAUCAACCUGCUCCAGGAGCAGGAUUAAGUUUCCAAGCUACAUUUUUUCUACUUAUUUAAAAAUACCUGAGCUGUAAUAUAGCAAGUCAGGCAACUGCUUCAUUAUAUAAAUAUAACAUAUGUCUACCUUGAAGAUACAGGGUUUAAGAAAAGACUUCUGUUUUCUCAGGCCUGUUGGAUAAUUUGUAAAUGCUGAUUCCUAAGGACAUAGACAUGAGUACAAUUAGCUAUACAUUAAAACCGGCUAUACAUUAGAAAGAUUUUAAUAGAUUAGUAAUAUUUUCAAAAUAUUUGAUGUACUAGAGGUGCUGACCAUGUUCCUAUAAAGUGAAAUGGAAGGUAACUCUUUAAAUUUGAACUUGUGCAGCUUGAAAAUAGAGUGACAAAGCAAGCUGUGGAAAGAAAUCUUGAUUCCCAAUGGAAUGCGCCACCCCGAGAGAGUGAGGGGGACCCAGUGUAUCUGCGUAAUGACAUAUCAUCGUAUGCUCACUUUAGAAUUGCACGAAGUUUGUGGUUUAGGGCUCCAACAAAUGUGAUGUGAGGAAGGAUUUCCCUCGUGAUUUUUCUUCUCACAUAAACUAUUUGCAAUAUUGCCUGUAUAUCCUAAGCCAAGCAAUUCAUAGGUCAUGAAAUGAUUGAAAACAACCCAGCGCAGCGUGCUGAGUUAGUGACCCAGUGGCAACUGGCCUCGUUAAGGGAGAAACUGAAUGAGCAAAGGGGAAGGUUGGAGAAGGCUGGUGAAAAGGAACAAUAGUAUGAGGGCAAAAAUCAGAGUGGAUGGAAAUCCUGACUUCUUAGACCUAACUACAAGUUCUGUUUAUGAUAGAACUGGGAGACUUAGAAUAGAACAAACUCAGUACACUCUGGCCUCUUCCUCCAAAGUCUUCCACAGACCUGAACUGGUAGAUUUUCUUUUUAAAGAUUUAUUCAUUUAUUUGAAAGGCAGAGUUACAGGGAGGCAGAGAUACAAAGAGAAGUCUUCCAUCUGCUGGUUCACUCCCCCAAAUGGCUGCAAUGGCUGGAGCUGAGCCAAUCUGAAGCCAGGAGCCAGGAGCUUCUUCCUGGUUUCACAUGUGGGUGCAGAGGCCCAAUGACUUGGACCAUCUUCCACUGUAUUCCCAGGCAAUUAACAGAGAGCUGGAUUGGAAGUGGAGUGGCCAGGACUCGAACCAGUGCCUAUAUGGGAUGCCAGCACUGUAGGCCGCGACUUUACCCGCUAUGUCAUAGCGCCGGCCCCUAUGGUAGAGUAUUAAUUUGCUGACUCUUUAAUCCCCUUGCCCCUCUCUCAGUGUUUACCUGAGAGAGCUUAACUGUUGUCAUUCAUAGAGAAAAUUGGUCCACACUCAACAACUCUACCUGAACUAGUAAUAAUACUUGUGAACAUAGCAUUGUGUAGAUUCCUCAUGAGCAUUUAUCAACAAUUAAUUGAUUUACUCAAGUGAGUAAUGGAUGAUCAGUCAUUCCUGGCCCUCUCUCAAUCCCACAUGAUCAGGAAUGACCUAUCAGUGGACUGUACAGCCUUUUGUCUUCCAGCCAUAGACAUCACCACUGCUCCCAGUUAAAACCAACAUGAUAUAUGGAAACAUACAAGGUUAAAUGCCUUAAUUCUUCCCUCUUAUGGCCACACGAUGCUGUGAAGUUUCUUCCUUAAAAUUUAGUGCUUCAGACCCUGAAAUAGCAUGGGUUGUUGCAGAGUUGAAGAUGGGGGCCAGGCCGGUGCCGCAGCUCAAUAGGCUAAUCCUCCCCCUGCAGUGCUGGCACACCGGGUUCUAGUCCCAGUCGGGGCGCUGGAUUCUGUCCCGGUUGUUCCUCUUCCAGUCCAGCUCUCUGCUGUGGCCCGGGAGUGCAGUGGAGGUUGGCCCAAGUGUUUGGGCCCUGUACCCGCAAGGGAGAGCAGGAGAAGCACCUGGCUCCUGGCUUCAGAUCAGCGCGGUGUGCUGGCCACAGUGCGCCGGCUGCAGUGCGCCGGUCGCAGCAGCUAUUGGGGGGUGAACCAACGGAAAAGGAAGACUUUUCCAUCUGUCUCUCCCUCUCACUGUCCACUCUGCCUGUCAAAAAAAAAAAAAAAAAAGAUGGGGGCAGGCUUAACAAAGUCAAAUUGUGAUAGCCACCCUAGUACUGAUUAGGCAGUACCCUGUACCAAAGUUUGUAUUGACUGGCACUUUAGAGAAGGAGAUCAUUCAUUAUAUAAUUAAAUCUGUAUUACUCUUUAAAGAAGGAGAAUUUUUUCUUUUUUUUUUUUCUUUAUGGAACUGAGGCAUAGAAAGGCAUGUAACAUUUUUAAGGUCAUAUAGUAAAUGACAGAGCCGGAACAAGCAAACGACAGAGCAUUUGGUUAACAGACAAUCAUGUUACUUGUGAUUACUGAGACAAUCGCUAUUACUCAUAGUUGCUAAUCUUUUUGCAGGCGGUGAAGUAUCUAUGGUCUUCAUACUUCUAGAGGUCUGCAAAGGUUUUAGUGAGGUUCCUAAAACAUUUUUAAUAUUUCAGACACACAAGCAAUUCACACAUUUACCUACAGAAAGGUAGCACAGUCUAACAAAGCAUGUUCAUUUUCUUUGUUUGGAUUUGAGUUUAUUAACCCUGACCAGUAAUCCUGGUUAUCCAUGCUGAUCAGAAUACUAAUCAGAAAAGGGAAGUCUUGGCUUAAUAAGUACAGUCUGAUCUUCAAACAAGCAAGCACGUAAACUGAAGUUUAGAUAUGGGGCCACUGUGCGAAGAAUAAUAAUAACAGUAAUAUGAGGUCUUAUAAUGAAAAGAACAUUGCUUUGAAAGUACUGGAUAGAUAUAUGUGCAACAGCAAAGGAACAGUUCCAGAGACACAUGGAAACACCUGUAUCUAAAUGGAUGGUUAGCCCUGUGCACCGCCUUAGUGUGUGUCUCCCCACCUAGAUCAAUACCUCAUCGGAGUGGGUAAGCUCAAAGUACUGCAUAAACAAUGGCUUUUCAGCAGGGGCUGAAUAAAGAGUAGAAACUGAGUUAGAAGAAGGGAGUAAAUAUGUGUUUCCAUUCAGAGGCUCGUAUUUGGGUUAUAGCAACCACAUUGCUUGUUCAUCAUACUCAGAAAACAAGUGUAUGUUGGGUCCGGCAGUGGACGAGGCACCAGGGUUUGGAAAUGAAAAAGUCAAGGUCCAGCAUUCAAGGAGGUCAAAUCUGGUAAAGAAGGCAGCUACCACAGUAAAGCAGUUUACUAUGGAGAGAUUAAGGCUGUGAUAUACGUAAAUACUCAGCAAGGCAGUAACAUAAAAGAGAAAGUAGGACUUUUCUUAUCUAUCCAAGCUACACGCAGCCUUUGAACUCUGCUUUGAAGGAUCACUGACUGGGAGCUUGCCACAUGGGAAAGGAACAAAAAAGAUAAACCUUUUGAGACAUUGCAAUGGAUAUGGGAACUCAGUGAUUUCAGGUCUAUUUUCAAAUCAGUUAAUAACAGAGGAGAGAGAAGGUAUGCCUUGUGGUUUAAUAAACUGAGCUUCUGGCCAGCACCAUGGCUCACUAGGCUAAUCCUCUGCUUGUAGCACCAGUACACUGGGUUCUAGUCCCGGUUGGGGCACCAAAUUCUGUCCCGGUUGCACCUCUUCCAGUCCAGCUCUGCUGUGACCCGGAGUGCAGUGGAGGAUAGCCCAAGUGCUUGGGCCCUGCACCCGCAUGGGAGACCAGGAGAUACACCUGGUUCCUGGCUUGUGCCGUUAUGCCCAUAAUUCAUAUCAAAGUGGCUGGCAUAAGAAGUUUUUGAACUGCAUUGAUAAUUUAAGCCUCAUAGGAGAGUGAUACAGCAGAACUGAUUAUAUUUGUUGGAAAUGGAGUGGGUAGACAAUAGUGCUAAUUGUUAAUGUGGCAGUUGGUUAUGCCCUAACUAAACAAGAAUGUAUGUUGGCAGUAGAAGUUGGUUGGUUGCAAAGAAUAGGGCGCAAAAGUGUUUUGGGAUAUUGUUCUUUUAAAAGAAAUUCUCAAGAACAAGUAAAACAGAUCCAGAUUUAGCUGGCAUGGGUGUGUGCAAAGAGCUUGGGCAGAAUAAUGGGGAACAGUUUCUUUUUUGACUUGGCAGUCAUUCUACAUAAGCUGAUUAUGACUUAAUGAUACUUUAUUGCCUAUGUCUCAUAUAGAUUAGGCUCUUCAACCUGAUCUUCUCAGACUGGCUUCUCACAAGGCAUCACAUCCAACAACAUUCAGACCACAGACAUGCUUGAUGCCCCCUGUAUUGCAGCAUGCAUUCUUCUUAGAGUCCUGUGAAGCCAUGACAGAUGAUAAACGUAUUAGCAAAUUCUGUAUAGAUACUGUCAUAAGAUCCUAAUUUUUCUAAAUAUGGACAGACAUUUGAGGAAUUAAGAAGCACUGAAAUGAUUAGUAUCUUGGGGGCAGCAUCCCUUCCCCAGGGCCAGCUGGAGCACCCCUUUGAAGUGGAGCCAGGGAAUGUCUGUAGAUUUUUCUUCACUGAAAUGACUGAUGUUUACUUGAAGUUGCAAAGGUGAAUUGCACCGUCACAGAGGUCCAAGCACAUGUCUUCUCAAGAAGAGAGUUUCAGCCACCAAUAAAACACUACCUUGAUGUCUGAGGAAUCAAAGUUUCCAUUGUCAAAUCUGGUCCUUCUUAGUAUUUCCUGGAGCCCACUCUUUUACCAAAUUCUGAACUAAUACUUGGCUAUCAACAUGUUUAAUAGUUAAAUUUUCUUAACCAUCUCAAGAUGCGCUCAACUUUGGGAUCUUUGUUCAUGGUUAACUUUCCUUACUUUAUACCAACCCAAAUCCUAGUGAUCCAUUAAAUGUCACCUCCUUCUGCAAUCCUUCCAUCAUGCAACUUUUGAAUUCUUUUGACACUUAAAGAACCCUAGAAGCUGACAUUGAAUGAGAAUCCUCCUCUCGCUGUCCUGUGUGCACAACUCAUGCCCUCCACUAGACUAUAGUCCCCUGAUAGCCAAAGGCACAGCUUCCCCAUUUUAUAUAUCCUUUGUUGUGCCUCUCAGAGCACAGCAUGGACUGAGCUCCCAUCAGGGAUAAAUGAUGACCCAGCCCUAUGCACAAUGACAUAAAAGCAUAAAGAGGUUUCUUUUAUUUCAAAGACAGAGUUACAAAGAGAGAUGUAGAGAGAGAGAGAGAGAGAGAGAAUUGAUCUUCCAACUGCUGGUUCACUCCCCAAAUGGUCACAAUGGCUAGAGCUGAGCUGACCUGAAUCCAGGAGCUUAUUCCUAGUCUCCCACAUGGGUGCAGGGGCCCAAGCACUUGGACCAUUCUCUACUGCUUUCCCAGGCACAUUAACAGGGAGCUGGAUUAGAAGUGGAACAGCUGAGACUUGAACCGGUGCCCAUGUGGGAUGCCAGUGUUGCAGGCUGGGGCUUUAACCCACUGUGCCACAGUGCUGGCCCCAGCAUAAAGAUUUAAAGAGAACAAAUUAUACAUCAAAUACUUAUUGUAUUGCUAGGUCAUAGGUAAGGUUUUUUACUUGCAUUAUUAAUUGUCUUAUUAGUUGCUGCAGCACCUCUGAAAAGUUGUACUCAGGUUUUAGAGGUAGGAAAAUAGAGUCGGAAAGUGUUAAUAAGUGAGUUGACCACUAUCCAAGACAGGUCCCCUCAACAUCAAGGCUCUGCCUCUGUUGUCAGUUCUAUGCUGUAUUCUGACCAAGAGUUAUUUGGGCUCCUGAUUAUGGCCAGCAUACUUCGGAGAAAGUGAAUUCAAAAGAUAAAGUAUUACAGAAGUCUGUGCUCAGUGCCUGCCACUUAUUCUUACUACCAUAACACAAGAGAGGUAUUGAUAUGAGGCUCAGGAAGCGAAGCUAGUGUGAUAAAUUAACUGGCUUAUUAUGGAAGGUUAGUCAGUAAUUAUGAUGGUGCCCAUUUGAGGCAAUAUACUUUGUCUUACAGUUGCUUUACCUGUGGCCAUAUUUUCCAAUUAAAUACUCUCCAUGAGAUGCAAGAACCAGAGGAGAGGAGUUGUAGCCUCAGAAGGACUUGGAUAUUGUGUGCUCAAACAUCAAGUCCUAGGGUUUUAAUUGGCUUUUUGUUGCCAGGACAUUCCGAAGAAAUUUUCUUCUUUUAAGGCCUGGGAAGUUGUGCAGCCAUUGCUUUUUUUUCAAAGAUUAAUUUAAAUAUUCAAAGUUACUCAAAUGUGAAUUGAGAGAGGUUGGCAUUUGCCUGUGGUUUCAAACAUAUCUCUGUCUCAUGCUUUCCUGCGUUUGGCCAUGCUGUGUUUGUGCUGAGAAUUCCCCGCCUCAACUCCUCUUGUGAGUGAAGAGUCAUUCUUCCAUUACUCGCUGCUCAAGCACUUCUUUUGUGAACACUAUCCUGAAUCCUUUCAUGCCCCUGCCAGGCACAAAGAUUUAUUUUGGUGCUAAAAAUUUUGAAAUCCAUGCAUAUGGGGAGUAUUCAAGAAGUUCAUGGAAAAUGAAUGUCAUGAAAAAAGUAUGCAUGGAUUUUAGAAUAUAAUUGCACCUACUUUCAUUUUAACUACAUUUUCUAUGAACUUUGGAAACCCACCUUGGAUUUCCCACAUUGAUAUUUACUAAAGCAUGGAUCUCCACUUCAGGCAUCUAGUCAACCAAGGAGGCAAAGCAGUAUGGUGGUUAACACCGUUGACUCCUAAUCCAGAUUCAGCUUCCUUGUUGGUAGAAAGGGUCCGGGGGC